UACGUAGGGUCCGAGCGUUGUCCGGAAUUACUGGGCGUAAAGAGCUCGUAGGUGGUUUGUCGCGUUGUUCGUGAAAACUCACAGCUUAACUGUGGGCGUGCGGGCGAUACGGGCAGACUGGAGUACUGCAGGGGAGACUGGAAUUCCUGGUGUAGCGGUGAAAUGCGCAGAUAUCGGGAGGAACACCGGUGGCGAAGGCGGUUCUCUGGGCCUGACCUGACGCUGAGGAGCGAAAGCGUGGGGAGCGAACAGG
rnacentral:rRNA from 1 species